AUACGUAGGGGGCAAGCGUUAUCCGGAAUUAUUGGGCGUAAAGAGUGCGUAGGCGGUCUUGCAAGUCAGAAGUGAAAUUCCUGAGCUCAACUCGGGCGCUGCUUCUGAAACUGCAGGACUUGAGUGCUGGAGGGGCUAGCGGAAUUCCUAGUGGAGCGGUAAAAUGCGCAGAUAUUAGGAAGAACACCGGUGGCGAAGGCGGCUAGCUGGACAGUAACUGACGCUGAGGCGCGAAAGCGUGGGGAGCAAACAGGAUUAGAUACCCUGGUAGUCCACGCUGUAAACGAUGAAUACUAGGUGUGGGGGGACUGACCCCCUCCGUGCCGCAGUUAACACAAUAAGUAUUCCACCUGGGGAGUACGAUCGCAAGAUUGAAACUCAAAUGAAUUGACGGGG
rnacentral:rRNA from 1 species